rnacentral:rRNA from 1 species
GAUGAACGCUGGCGGCGUGCUUAACACAUGCAAGUCGAACGGGAAUUACUUUAUUGAAACUUCGGUCGAUUUAAUUUAAUUCUAGUGGCGGACGGGUGAGUAACGCGUGGGUAACCUGCCUUAUACAGGGGGAUAACAGUCAGAAAUGACUGCUAAUACCGCAUAAGCGCACAUAGCUGCAUGGCUCAGUGCGAAAAACUCCGGUGGUAUAAGAUGGACCCGCGUUGGAUUAGCUAGUUGGUGAGGUAACGGCACACCAAGGCGACGAUCCAUAGCCGGCCUGAGAGGGUGAACGGCCACAUUGGGACUGAGACACGGCCCAGACUCCUACGGGAGGCAGCAGUGGGGAAUAUUGCACAAUGGGGGAAACCCUGAUGCAGCGACGCCGCGUGAAGGAAGAAGUAUCUCGGUAUGUAAACUUCUAUCAGCAGGGAAGAAUUAGGACGGUACCUGACUAAGAAGCCCCGGCUAACUACGUGCCAGCAGCCGCGGUAAAAC